rnacentral:rRNA from 1 species
AGAUUGAACGCUGGCGGCAGGCCUAACACAUGCAAGUCGAGCGGCAGCACGGGUACUUGCACCUGGUGGCGAGCGGCGGACGGGUGAGUAAUGCCUAGGAAUCUGCCUGAUAGUGGGGGAUAACGUUCGGAAACGGACGCUAAUACCGCAUACGUCCUACGGGAGAAAGUGGGGGAU